rnacentral:rRNA from 1 species
GGGUUGUGAGGUUAAGCGACUAAGCGUACACGGUGGAUGCCCUGGCAGUCAGAGGCGAUGAAGGACGUGCUAAUCUGCGAUAAGCGUCGGUAAGGUGAUAUGAACCGUUAUAACCGGCGAUUUCCGAAUGGGGAAACCCAGUGUGAUUCGUCACACUAUCAUUAACUGAAUCCAUAGGUUAAUGAGGCGAACCGGGGGAACUGAAACAUCUAAGUACCCCGAGGAAAAGAAAUCAACCGAGAUUCCCCCAGUAGCGGCGAGCGAACGGGGAGCAGCCCAGAGCCUGAAUCAGUGUGUGUGUUAGUGGAAGCGUCUGGAAAGGCGCGCGAUACAGGGUGACAGCCCCGUACACAAAAAUGCACAUGCUGUGAGCUCGAUGAGUAGGGCGGGACACGUGGUAUCCUGUCUGAAUAUGGGGGGACCAUCCUCCAAGGCUAAAUACUCCUGACUGACCGAUAGUGAACCAGUACCGUGAGGGAAAGGCGAAAAGAACCCCGGCGAGGGGAGUGAAAAAGAACCUGAAACCGUGUACGUACAAGCAGUGGGAGCCUCUUUUAUGGGGUGACUGCGUACCUUUUGUAUAAUGGGUCAGCGACUUAUAUUCUGUAGCAAGGUUAACCGAAUAGGGGAGCCGAAGGGAAACCGAGUCUUAACUGGGCGUUAAGUUGCAGGGUAUAGACCCGAAACCCGGUGAUCUAGCCAUGGGCAGGUUGAAGGUUGGGUAACACUAACUGGAGGACCGAACCGACUAAUGUUGAAAAAUUAGCGGAUGACUUGUGGCUGGGGGUGAAAGGCCAAUCAAACCGGGAGAUAGCUGGUUCUCCCCGAAAGCUAUUUAGGUAGCGCCUCGUGAAUUCAUCUCCGGGGGUAGAGCACUGUUUCGGCAAGGGGGUCAUCCCGACUUACCAACCCGAUGCAAACUGCGAAUACCGGAGAAUGUUAUCACGGGAGACACACGGCGGGUGCUAACGUCCGUCGUGAAGAGGGAAACAACCCAGACCGCCAGCUAAGGUCCCAAAGUCAUGGUUAAGUGGGAAACGAUGUGGGAAGGCCCAGACAGCCAGGAUGUUGGCUUAGAAGCAGCCAUCAUUUAAAGAAAGCGUAAUAGCUCACUGGUCGAGUCGGCCUGCGCGGAAGAUGUAACGGGGCUAAACCAUGCACCGAAGCUGCGGCAGCGACGCUUAUGCGUUGUUGGGUAGGGGAGCGUUCUGUAAGCCUGCGAAGGUGUGCUGUGAGGCAUGCUGGAGGUAUCAGAAGUGCGAAUGCUGACAUAAGUAACGAUAAAGCGGGUGAAAAGCCCGCUCGCCGGAAGACCAAGGGUUCCUGUCCAACGUUAAUCGGGGCAGGGUGAGUCGACCCCUAAGGCGAGGCCGAAAGGCGUAGUCGAUGGGAAACAGGUUAAUAUUCCUGUACUUGGUGUUACUGCGAAGGGGGGACGGAGAAGGCUAUGUUGGCCGGGCGACGGUUGUCCCGGUUUAAGCGUGUAGGCUGGUUUUCCAGGCAAAUCCGGAAAAUCAAGGCUGAGGCGUGAUGACGAGGCACUACGGUGCUGAAGCAACAAAUGCCCUGCUUCCAGGAAAAGCCUCUAAGCAUCAGGUAACAUCAAAUCGUACCCCAAACCGACACAGGUGGUCAGGUAGAGAAUACCAAGGCGCUUGAGAGAACUCGGGUGAAGGAACUAGGCAAAAUGGUGCCGUAACUUCGGGAGAAGGCACGCUGAUAUGUAGGUGAAGUCCCUCGCGGAUGGAGCUGAAAUCAGUCGAAGAUACCAGCUGGCUGCAACUGUUUAUUAAAAACACAGCACUGUGCAAACACGAAAGUGGACGUAUACGGUGUGACGCCUGCCCGGUGCCGGAAGGUUAAUUGAUGGGGUUAGCGCAAGCGAAGCUCUUGAUCGAAGCCCCGGUAAACGGCGGCCGUAACUAUAACGGUCCUAAGGUAGCGAAAUUCCUUGUCGGGUAAGUUCCGACCUGCACGAAUGGCGUAAUGAUGGCCAGGCUGUCUCCACCCGAGACUCAGUGAAAUUGAACUCGCUGUGAAGAUGCAGUGUACCCGCGGCAAGACGGAAAGACCCCGUGAACCUUUACUAUAGCUUGACACUGAACAUUGAGCCUUGAUGUGUAGGAUAGGUGGGAGGCUUUGAAGUGUGGACGCCAGUCUGCAUGGAGCCGACCUUGAAAUACCACCCUUUAAUGUUUGAUGUUCUAACGUUGACCCGUAAUCCGGGUUGCGGACAGUGUCUGGUGGGUAGUUUGACUGGGGCGGUCUCCUCCUAAAGAGUAACGGAGGAGCACGAAGGUUGGCUAAUCCUGGUCGGACAUCAGGAGGUUAGUGCAAUGGCAUAAGCCAGCUUGACUGCGAGCGUGACGGCGCGAGCAGGUGCGAAAGCAGGUCAUAGUGAUCCGGUGGUUCUGAAUGGAAGGGCCAUCGCUCAACGGAUAAAAGGUACUCCGGGGAUAACAGGCUGAUACCGCCCAAGAGUUCAUAUCGACGGCGGUGUUUGGCACCUCGAUGUCGGCUCAUCACAUCCUGGGGCUGAAGUAGGUCCCAAGGGUAUGGCUGUUCGCCAUUUAAAGUGGUACGCGAGCUGGGUUUAGAACGUCGUGAGACAGUUCGGUCCCUAUCUGCCGUGGGCGCUGGAGAACUGAGGGGGGCUGCUCCUAGUACGAGAGGACCGGAGUGGACGCAUCACUGGUGUUCGGGUUGUCAUGCCAAUGGCACUGCCCGGUAGCUAAAUGCGGAAGAGAUAAGUGCUGAAAGCAUCUAAGCACGAAACUUGCCCCGAGAUGAGUUCUCCCUGACUCCUUGAGAGUCCUGAAGGAACGUUGAAGACGACGACGUUGAUAGGCCGGGUGUGUAAGCGCAGCGAUGCGUUGAGCUAACCGGUACUAAUGAACCGUGAGGCUUAACCUUACAACGCCGAAGCUGUU